AUCCCAUGUCAACUGCUACCAAUUCUGCUUGGAAGCCUCAUUUCUUCUCUUCUUCUCAUGGUCGGUCUCCCGAUUAUCGGUUCUAAUAAAACACCCAAUCUUAUGAAUAUGGGUUCUAAAUUACAGAAAACUCAUUUUUUUCUGCAGAGAAAAGUUAUGGUUCAAGUAACUUACUUUACCUCUCGAUUUCCUGGUCCUUAUGAUUUCUUUUUUAUCCAAUAUUAUGUAUUUUGGAACUAGACAUGUCCAUAAUUAAACUCAUCUGAUUUCCUUGAUUCCUUUGAGUUUUGAUUGAUCAAAACCAUGUCCAAAGUUGAGUUGCAGAGCUGCCAAACAGCAGCAAGUUCUGCAUUUCCAGUUUUGGGACUCCAUUUUAUAUCUGGCAUAAGUUUCAAUUUGGAGCUCAGUUUUCUACAAAUCUUAUAUGGUUUUAAAGUACACAAAACGAGCUUCAAAACCCAUUUAAGUUUAUACCAUUUGGUUCAGUUUUGAGCGUUCAAAAAUUGGGGUGGGUGCAAGGACACUAGAAGGUUCAUCUCAGGCGAUUGUGUAAUGAUCGGUGAGUCACCAGCUUCUUGAAGGUCUAAGAAAUAAACUACAACAUCAAGAUCGACAGGUGAAGCAGAGUAUAGGGCCAUGGCUUUCACAUGUUGUGAAUUGACUUGGCUGAAAUGCGUCCUCAAUGACUUGCUAGUUAAGCAUCCCAAAGCAAUCAUAUUGUACUGCGAUAACGAAGCAGCCCUUCACUUUGCAUCCGGUCCCGUUUUUCAUGAACGAACAAAGCAUAUCGAAAUAGAUUGUCAUCUAGUUUAGGGAGAAGCUGCAAGGAGUGGUUCUCAUCUAGUAUGCGAAAACACUUCAAUAAAUAGCAGACUUGUUCACUAAACACUUGAGUACUUCACAAUUUGAUCAUCUUCUUAUCAAGUAGGGUGUCAUAAAUAUACACUCCAGUUGAGGUGGAGUGUUAAAGAUAGUAAGGUCAAAUACAAUGAACUUGGAUCGAACAUAGCAAGGGUCAAGACAAUGAACUUUGAUUGCACAAGUAAUUCAACCAAGUCUUAUGAAUGAAAUAUAUUAAUUUUAUAUUUGUAGAACUUCUAGCAAGAUACGUGCACUUGUUAUAUUAUAUAAAUGUGUUGUGCCUAGUGUUUUCAUGAUUAAAGAAAUACAAUUUUUCCAAGUUAAAUCUUUGCAAGGCAAGAAA